CAGUAGCCGCGGUAACACGUAGGUCCCGAGCGUUGUCCGGAUUUAUUGGGCGUAAAGCGAGCGCAGGCGGUUUGAUAAGUCUGAAGUUAAAGGCUGUGGCUCAACCAUAGUUCGCUUUGGAAACCGUCAAACUUGAGUGCAGAAGGGGAGAGUGGAAUUCCAUGUGUAGCGGUGAAAUGCGUAGAUAUAUGGAGGAACACCGGUGGCGAAAGCGGCUCUCUGGUCUGUAACUGACGCUGAGGCACGAAAGCGUGGGGAGCAAACAGGAUUAGAUACCCGCGUAGUCCCUGUCUCUUAUACA
rnacentral:rRNA from 1 species